GACGAACGCUGGCGGCGUGCUUAACACAUGCAAGUCGAACGGAAAGGCCCUGCUUUUGUGGGGUGCUCGAGUGGCGAACGGGUGAGUAACACGUGAGUAACCUGCCCUUGACUUUGGGAUAACUUCAGGAAACUGGGGCUAAUACCGGAUAGGAGCUCCUGCUGCAUGGUGGGGGUUGGAAAGUUUCGGCGGUUGGGGAUGGACUCGCGGCUUAUCAGCUUGUUGGUGGGGUAGUGGCUUACCAAGGCUUUGACGGGUAGCCGGCCUGAAAGGGUGACCGGCCACAUUGGGACUGAGAUACGGCCCAGACUCCUACGGGAGGCAGCAGUGGGGAAUAUUGCACAAUGGGCGAAAGCCUGAUGCAGCAACGCCGCGUGCGGGAUGACGGCCUUCGGGUUGUAAACCGCUUUCGCCUGUGACGAAGCGUGAGUGACGGUAAUGGGUAAAGAAGCACCGGCUAACUACGUG
rnacentral:rRNA from 1 species